rnacentral:rRNA from 1 species
GUGUACGUACAAGCAGUGGGAGCACAGGUUUACCUGUGUGACUGCGUACCUUUUGUAUAAUGGGUCAGCGACUUAUAUUCUGUAGCAAGGUUAACCGUAUAGGGGAGCCGUAGGGAAACCGAGUCUUAACCGGGCGUUAAGUUGCAGGGUAUAGACCCGAAACCCGGUGAUCUAGCCAUGGGCAGGUUGAAGGUUGGGUAACACUAACUGGAGGACCGAACCGACUAAUGUUGAAAAAUUAGCGGAUGACCUGUGGCUGGGGGUGAAAGGCCAAUCAAACCGGGAGAUAGCUGGUUCUCCCCGAAAGCUAUUUAGGUAGCGCCUCGUGAAUUCAUCUCCGGGGGUAGAGCACUGUUUCGGCUAGGGGGCCAUCCCGGCUUACCAACCCGAUGCAAACUGCGAAUACCGGAGAAUGUUAUCACGGGAGACACACGGCGGGUGCUAACGUCCGUCGUGAAGAGGGAAACAACCCAGACCGCCAGCUAAGGUCCCAAAGUCAUGGUUAAGUGGGAAACGAUGUGGGAAGGCCCAGACAGCCAGGAUGUUGGCUUAGAAGCAGCCAUCAUUUAAAGAAAGCGUAAUAGCUCACUGGUCGAGUCGGCCUGCGCGGAAGAUGUAACGGGGCUAAACCAUGCACCGAAGCUGCGGCAGCGAACGUAUCACCCAAGACAACUUUACGGAGUUGACGAUUGACGGAGCGAAGCGACGUCAAAGCGUUCAUUAAAGUCGAGUUGGCUUAGGGAUACGUUCGUUGGGUAGGGGAGCGUUCUGUAAGCCUGUGAAGGUGUGUCGUGAGGCAUGCUGGAGGUAUCAGAAGUGCGAAUGCUGACAUAAGUAACGAUAAAGCGGGUGAAAAGCCCGCUCGCCGGAAGACCAAGGGUUCCUGUCCAACGUUAAUCGGGGCAGGGUGAGUCGACCCCUAAGGCGAGGCCGAAAGGCGUAGUCGAUGGGAAACGGGUUAAUAUUCCCGUACUUGGUGUUACUGCGAAGGGGGGACGGAGAAGGCUAUGUUGGCCGGGCGACGGUUGUCCCGGUUUAAGCGUGUAGGUGUGUGUUCCAGGUAAAUCCGGUUCACUUUAACACUGAGGCGUGACGACGAGGCACUACGGUGCUGAAGCAACAAAUGCCCUGCUUCCAGGAAAAGCCUCUAAGCAUCAGGUAACACGAAAUCGUACCCCAAACCGACACAGGUGGUCAGGUAGAGAAU